GGCUCAAGGCCGGAAUGACAUUUCAAUCUUAUUCGACUUUUGAUACAGCCUCGUUUAGAGUACUACCUCGACAAGGUAGGGGUCGUGGGUUCGAGCCCCACAGGUCCCA
rnacentral:tRNA from 1 species